GCUUCCUUCCAUUAGCACAAGGCUUCCAAUAGAUCAAAUUCCACGUGACAACACUACCAGGUACCUACAAGUACAUGUAUAUAGCUAGCACAAAAUUGUACGAUUAGCUAAGUACAGUGCAUGUGUACAGUGUACAUCUGCAUGAGAAUGAGACUAGCUUGUGCUGUAGUAGCUCUAUGUCUAGUAGCCUUGGUUACUGGCAAGAUUACAGAUAAAUCUACGGCAAUAGAAUUAUUUGAGAGGGUCGCGAUUCAGAAGCAGUCAAUAAGUGAAGCUUUGCGUGAGAUCACAAAAGGGAACAAUGAUCACAAAAUGGACGAUUCUUUGCCAGCAACUAUACAGUUUGUGGAGCGUCUCUCUCACCUGACACCAGAGGAGAAGAAACUCUACAUGGAAAUGAUGGGCAAAUGAGUGCUCUCUCUCUCACAUGCACAGCUACAUACACACUAAACAGUGAAACAGUGAAACUAUCGAACUUUUAUAUUCAACAUUCUCAUGACUUAAUUAUAUACCACAGUAAUUAUUCUUAUAAACGCGUACAGAAAGGAUUGCAUAUGA